UUGUGCGCCCAUGAGAUCGGUCGGUACCGAGGCUGAGGACGUGUGCGCGCACUCCGUAAUGUCCACCGAGGCGCUGCGCUCUGCGCCGCCGACAGUCAGACUGGGAUCGCUGUUGCGCACCGACACGGUGGCUGGAUAAAUGGACUUGACGGUACUAAGAAUGUGGGACAACAUGAACAAAUGUGCUGCUUGUUGCUGGCUUGAAACGCUGCUUCCUCCUCCUCCCAAAUACCACCAGUUGGUGCCCGUCUGACACAUGGAGUAGGUAACACCGUUGUGUUUGGGACCUCCACCAAAGGCUGUUCUAACAUACUGCACAAUCACUAUGGAUUCAUUUUUUAAAUGUUUCAAGUCUCUUGAGCCUUAAUAGUAGAACUGUAAUUCCAAUAGUUAUUGCAAUGGAAGUCAUUACAUAUUUCUAUUAAGCAUACAUUCAAUUCCCUACUUCAAACUGUGUAAUUUUGAGGGGGAUGGAAAGCCACCAACUGAUGACUUUGACAUUAAAUUUAUGGUGAAUUUUUGUGGAGAAGAUGGUUCCUGGGGCAUGGAACAGUUGAAUAAAUUGUGUUUUUGAUGUGAAUCUGUGCUAGAAUUUUAGCUUUCAGGUCUUUGUACAGAUUGGAGAAAAAAAGUUUCUUUCUGAUUAUUUAACAUUCUCCCCUUACAGCAUCACAAAGAGUUAAUGGGCACAAAAGUCUAUGAUUAAAUACCCUUGACAGUUUGUUGGUAUAGCUACAUAUUUUACAUACAGUAAAUGUGGCAUAUUUUGUAUGUGUUUUGAGGGCGCAAAAGUUAUUGGACAGUUGGCUGCCUGGCAGUUUCAUGGCCAUUGUGAUGCUCUCUCACAACAUAAUUGAUACUUCUCAUUGGAGUCUCUCGAAGAAACCAUUUGACACAACGUUAUUCCAGUGAUACCAAAGCAUUUUCAGAAGAGAGCUCACAGACACCCCAUCAUCACCUUAGGUCACUGGUGUUCAAGUCUCACAACCAUACAGUAAGACAGGUAACACCAGGACCCUAAAGACUUGGACCUUCGUUCUCUUGCAAACAUAUUGGCAUUACCAAAGACCUUUGUCUGGUGACCUCAUGACUCCAUAGACCAGGGGUGUCCAAGUUCAGACCUCGAGAUCUACCUUCCUGGCACUCUUAGUUAUCUCCCUGC